rnacentral:rRNA from 1 species
UACGUAGGGCGCGAGCGUUAUCCGGAAUUAUUGGACGUAAAGAGCUCGUAGGCGGUUUGUCGCGUCUGCUGUGAAAACUGGAGGCUCAACCUCCAGCCUGCAGUGGGUACGGGCAGACUCGAGUGCGGUAGGGGAGAUUGGAAUUCCUGGUGUAGCGGUGGAAUGCGCAGAUAUCAGGAGGAACACCGAUGGCGAAGGCAGAUCUCUGGGCCGUAACUGACGCUGAGGAGCGAAAGCAUGGGGAGCGAACAGG